rnacentral:rRNA from 1 species
AGAGUUUGAUUCUGGCUCAGAACGAACGCUGGCGGCGUGGAUAAGACAUGCAAGUCGAACGAGAGAAUUGCUAGCUUGCUAAUAAUUCUCUAGUGGCGCACGGGUGAGUAACACGUGAGUAACCUGCCCCCGAGAGCGGGAUAGCCCUGGGAAACUGGGAUUAAUACCGCAUAGUAUCGAAAGAUUAAAGCAGCAAUGCGCUUGGGGAUGGGCUCGCGGCCUAUUAGUUAGUUGGUGAGGUAACGGCUCACCAAGGCGAUGACGGGUAGCCGGUCUGAGAGGAUGUCCGGCCACACUGGAACUGAGACACGGUCCAGACACCUACGGGUGGCAGCAGUCGAGAAUCAUUCACAAUGGGGGAAACCCUGAUGGUGUGACGCCGCGUGGGGGAAUGAAGGUCUUCGGAUUGUAAACCCCUGUCAUGUGGGAGCAAAUUAAAAAGAUAGUACCACAAGAGGAAGAGACGGCUAACUCUGUGCCAGCAGCCGCGGUAAUACAGAGGUCUCAAGCGUUGUUCGGAAUCACUGGGCGUAAAGCGUGCGUAGGCUGUUUCGUAAGUCGUGUGUGAAAGGCGCGGGCUCAACCCGCGGACGGCACAUGAUACUGCGAGACUAGAGUAAUGGAGGGGGAACCGGAAUUCUCGGUGUAGCAGUGAAAUGCGUAGAUAUCGAGAGGAACACUCGUGGCGAAGGCGGGUUCCUGGACAUUAACUGACGCUGAGGCACGAAGGCCAGGGGAGCGAAAGGGAUUAGAUACCCCUGUAGUCCUGGCAGUAAACGGUGCACGCUUGGUGUGCGGGGAAUCGACCCCCUGCGUGCCGGAGCUAACG